AUAUAAGUAGCUCUACUAUCAGUUUCGUGAAUGACAGUGAGAAGUGAAGACAGUGAGAAAGUUAAGGAAAAUGUAUGGAGUAAAUGUACAGAGCCUCUACCGGUCACGUAAAGAACUAAAAAAUUCAAUUGGUACCAUGAGUUAUAGACGUUUUUACGCGAGUUUUCCAUACUUGCCUAACUUCACACCUAAAACGCUCUCUUUCUAAUUAUAUAAUGAAAACUGAGCCAGAAUUGUUCUGCGUAAAUAUUUAACGCGAGUAAACGUGACAGUGACACGAAAAAUACGUGCGUUUCCAACGUGUCAUUUCUGUCAACUUGUAAUCACAACAAAUACGCAGAUUUUUUACAAAUAUCCAUGCAAUUUUCAACGUAAUAUGUAUUAAUUUAUAACAGUACGUGCACUUCAAGCAAAACUUUAAGGGAUAAAUCAAUUAAUAGUUCGAUAAAAGGCUGAUUUAGUACAAAGGCAAGAAGCUGAUUGAAAACAACAUUUCCAUGAAAACCCGGAUUGCAUCAUGUAUGCAUGCGUAUGCAUGUAGAAGUUACAUAUGUAUUAAGAAUUAAGGCUCAAUACAAGGAGCGGUACAUAGACAUGUUGCUGUUUUUGUUGCUGGGUGCACAUUACACAUAAAUAGUAAGAACAUACCGCAUGACCUAUUAUAAUAUUUACACAAGAAUUGCUACGUAUUUUAUUAAGCAUUAUUAUCUUAAAUAAAAUAAAACAUACAAAUGUUC